rnacentral:rRNA from 1 species
AUUGAACGCUAGCGGGAUGCCUUAAACAUGCAAGUCGAACGAGUGGCGGAAGGGUGAGUAAUAUAUCGGAACGUGCGCAGUAGCGGGGGAUAACUACUCGAACGAGUGGCUAAUACCGCAAACUUAUGGCGCGGCCGAUAACGGAUUAGGGAGUUGGUGUGGUAAAGGCUGACCAAGGAAACGACCCGUAACAGGUUUGAGAGGACGACCAGCCACACUGGGACUGAGACACGGCCCAGACGCCUACGGUAGGCAGCAGUGGGGAAUUUUGGACAAUGGGUGAAACCCUGAACCAGCCAUCCCGCGUGUAUGAGAAGGUCUUCGGGUUGUAAAGUACUUUUGGCAGAGAAGCGGUAUCUGCAGAAUAAGCACCGGCUAACUACGUGCCAGCAGCCGCGGUAAUUC